CAGGCCUAACACAUGCAAGUCGAACGAGAAAGUGGAGCAAUCCAUGAGUAAAGUGGCGACCGGGUGAGUAACACGUGACUAACCUACCUUUCAGUGGGGAAUAACCUCGGGAAACCGGGGCUAAUACCGCAUAAUGUCUUCGGAUCAAAGGAGCAAUUCGCUGGAAGAGGGGGUCGCGGCCGAUUAGCUAGUUGGCGGGGUAAUGGCCCACCAAGGCAGUGAUCUGUAUCCGGCCUGAGAGGGCGCACGGACACACUGGAACUGAAACACGGUCCAGACUCCUACGGGAGGCAGCAGUGGGGAAUUUUGCGCAAUGGGGGAAACCCUGACGCAGCAACGCCGCGUGGAGGAUGAAGUCCCUUGGGACGUAAACUCCUUUCGACCCGGACGAUAAUGACGGUACGGGUGGAAGAAGCCCCGGCUAACUUCGUGCCAGCAGCCGCGGUAAUACA
rnacentral:rRNA from 1 species